rnacentral:rRNA from 1 species
GACGAACGCUGGCGGCGUGCUUAACACAUGCAAGUCGAACGGUGAAGGGAUCAGCUUGCUGGUUCUGGAUGAGUGGCGAACGGGUGAGUAACACGUGAGUAACCUGCCCCCUUCUUCUGGAUAACCGCAUGAAAGUGUGGCUAAUACGGGAUAUUCUGGGUCUGUCGCAUGAUGGGUCGGGGAAAGAGAUUGUUUCGGUGGGGGAUGGGCUCGCGGCCUAUCAGCUUGUUGGUGGGGUGCUGGCCUACCAAGGCGGGGACGGGUAGCCGGCCGGAGAGGGGGGGCGGUCACACUGGGACUGGGCCACGGCCCAGAGUCAUACGGGAGGCAGCAGUGGGGGAUAUUGCACAGUGGGCGAAAGCCUGAUGCAGCGACGCCGCGUGAGGGAUGGAGGCCUUCGGGUUGUAAACCUCUUUCGCCAGUGAAGCAGGCCUGCUCCUUGUGGGUGGGUUGACGGUAGCUGGAUAAGAAGCGCCGGCUAACUACGUG